GUGACCCUCGAGCAACAAGUUACGACACCUGAAGAUGGGCGUAUAAGAGCCCGAAACCGGUCGUGUGAUAAUAAAAGAGCUUCACAGCUGUAGCGGUAUUUUGAACGUCUGACAGUGUAAUGCUCAGUUGCGGAUGUUCCUCCAACAGCAGUGUCGGUCUGACGAAAUUCUAUACAACGUUCGAAGUCACUACCUCACGGUGCCUGAUGUAGUAACAGAUGAUAACGGGGAAAUCGUGUCGAUGCAGGAUGGGAAUGACACCCUUGUCUGGCUAAUCCCACAUUCCUUGGCAAUACGUCUCCUGCCACCAUGCGUACUGAGAAGCGUCGUCGCUUCAUGUGCUAUGUCAGUUGCAGUCUUCGUCCUCGCCUUCUGACGUGGAAGCUGCCUAUAGGCACUAGUGACCUAAUAAUGGGUGCAAGUACCUGCUGCGACGGACAGCGGCAAAUAGAAUACAAAUCCGCAUACCACCGGACAGUUUCGACACGGUUUCUUUGGUAUUCGCCUUACGAAAGAAUGCCUAUCGUCUCCUCAUUGGUGCACAUGUCUGCAUGCAAGGAAUGUUGAAGCAGAAAUGACCUGCCGAUGUACAACACAGUUCCUGGUAGUUCUGCAGUGCAGACAAUAAGCAGUCGAAAGGGUUUCUACAGCGAUGUAGCGUGGCAUGAGCGUUUUUACAACUGACGCCCACGAGAAGGCAGGCCGUGGCGCGUACCUCACACCGCGUGGCACUGCAGGUCUUACGAGAGCCAGUAGCCGUCUCCGACUUGGAGCGAGUAACUGUUUUAGGCGACUUUAAUAAUAAUUGACUCCGCGUUUACAUUAACACGAGCUCUCGAUAGCACACGACAAAAUUAAGACCUUUACUGGGUACUUACUCAAUAACAUAUUGCUUCCUUUGGCUCUUGCGCGGAACCGGGCGUUUCCGAUGUGUGGUGGACAAGCCGACUAGUGUGACGUCACAAGUCCGUUGCGAGGCCCGUAUAUCUCGUCGGCCCCGUUUAAAACGCAACAGCCGAUUCCGGCGGACUUGCCUUUCAAAUGGUUCAAAUGGCUCUGAGCACUGUGGGACUUAACAUCUGAGGCCGUCAGUCACCUAGACUUAGAACUACUUAAACCUGACUUAACCUAAGGACAUCACACACAUCCAUAACCGAGGCAGGAUUCGAUCCUGCGACCGUAGGAGCAGCGUGGUUCCGAACUGAAGCGCCUAGAACCGCUCGGCCACAGUGGCCGGCCGUACUUCCCUUUCAGUUUAAAAAUAUUUCGUAGAUUCUUUUGCGAAGAGUUAGAUCUCUUCAAGCGCUUUCGAAUGCCACUAAAGCAAGUAAACAUUCUAUUUAAAACACUCGUACAUACUUCAGUAUCUUGAUCGCUAGAAGAGUUAAGACUCUUUCCCAUACCAAAGGACGUGCCCCUUCGCGUGUUAUCGUCUCUCGGAAAGCUCAUUUCGAUAUCUGGAACCGUUCACGAAACGAAAAAGGAGUAUCACAUUUUGCGUGCUGUUGCUACUGGAACAGCUGAGCAUCGCGACAUUUUGCUUCUCUUCCAUAUGCGACGUUUUAUUGGCCUACUCAUCAUCGGUAAACCUGUAUAUACUGCAGUGUAAUACUGUUAAGGUACAACUUGCACUGUCGGAAAAGCAAAGCCGAGCAUCACUGGCUACAAACUUGGGUGGAGAAAAGUAAAGUGAACUUUCAUGUUGUUAGGAAAAGGUACCGUCCGUGAGUGGACCAGGUUUCUUUCUAAACAAGAUGCACAGUGCAUAGAAUCGACAUCUACAAUCUUCUUCUUGUUCCUUACCUUUCUUCGUUUCCCUACGGGGUCUGCAUUGUUAUAUGGUGUUAACGGGUGGGGGGGGGGGGUGGACAUUCAUAAAAAAUACAAACUAUUUAGAAGAUGCACAAAACCCAACAAAUUUGAAGACACGACAAUGAAAUUUUCUACCUUGCUUGACAUGAAAUUAACACAUUUAUUGUUAAGUUCUUUGGAUUCUAUAUAUUAAACUUUUUAUGGAAUUUCAAAAUUUUAUUUUCGAGAAAAAUGUGUAUAUCUUUUUCUCAGAAACUAUUCAAGAAAUUCCUACAAAAUUUUAUCUGUUUAAUCUUUUUGAUUAUAGCAGAAGUAGAUAGCGUAUGUAUGUUGAAGCACAGGCACGGCUGGGGGCCGUCGAGCUCUUAUCAGUGAUGUCAAAAUGACGUCAUAUGAUGACGUUAUUGAUAAAGACUGCUGAAGUGUCUUAUCAGUGACGUCAUCAGAUGACGUCAUGUGAUAAGGGUCCUGACAUGUCUUGUCGGUGACGUCAUCAGAUGACAUCAUGUGAUAAGGGUGCUGAAGUGUCUUAUUGGUGAUGUGAUCAGGUGACGUCAUGUGAUAACUAUUGAUGUAUGUUAUCUGUAACGUCAUUGAAUGUCGUCGUGUUUUUACUUGGCGUUGCAAGUUCUAACAUGUUCUGUCCUGCAGCUUAUGGACUUAUGUUUCAAUUUCUGUUAAGAGUAAAAAAUUAGUCAUUUUCAGUGAUGUGACGUUAUAGCCCUAUGCCUUCAAACUCAUUCUCUGUUCCUCUCUCUAAAGCUCACUAGCUGACCUAUUAAGUUAACCUCAUGCAUGUCAUGAAAGCUGUAUUUGGCUAAGAUAAAUGAUCUAAGCAUGAUAACUCCUUUAGAGUCUGACGUCUACUGAUAAAGUUCUAUGGUCCUUCAGUCAUCUUAUGUCAGUGGAGCAUGCUAUUAUUCUGAUGUAAAUGAUCCCAGUAUGGUAACCUCUUUAUCAGCUGACCCAAAUGGAUAACCUUAUACACAUUGCAAACAGUGUAGGAGCAUGUGAGUGGAAGUUUCAGUUGAUAUCGUGUGUUUGACUCCAUAGAAGUUUUAGAUAUUCAAAUCUUUAUCAGCUCAUUUGACUAUAUAAGCUCAUCAGCAGACAGAUGAAUCUGAAGUUGCCACGCUUGUGGUUGUGGUGUGUGUUGUGUGUAGAGACAGGGCGCCAGUUUGAAAGAAGGCAUCUGCUACAGAGCAAGACACAAGGAACCGUUCUUUGCAGAAAUUAAAUGAUCUUGGCAGUGGAGCUGGUCGUCAGAAACCGAUUACACGAGCAUCAGCUCUUCCAUUAAAUGAAAAGUUUCUGGUGUUGGGAGCAAAGCAGGUCAACACUCCAUUUGGCCCAUCUGUAUUAAUAGAAAAAGAAAAACUCUUUUUAACAGCUCGAUUCUCUGACACGUCUGAAGAAGACUUAACGUUUCUCAAUAACGGAAAAGUUCCACUAUCUUACAAUGGUACAGUUAAUGGAAUGGAUACACUUACUUUCAGCACAUAAUCUCAUUCAUGUAGUAAAAGUUUUGUAAAGUUAUAGUGUGUCUUAACCUUAAUUUUUAUUAAUAAUUAUAAAUAAAUGUACUAUAUUUAUGUGAAGAGUCUUUGAAUUAUAUUCAUAAAAGUUUAUAACUUUAUAGAGAAUACUAAUCAUCACUUAAGUCCUGUUAAUAUAUUGAAAUGUCUGUAGAGUAUUACAAAGUCUGCAGGCAUGGGAACAUUAAAGUAGUUGAUCUUUACAGUAAGAAAAAUGAAAGUUGCAUGGAAUAUUUUAAGAAGGAAAAUACGCUUAAUUUCAUAUUUAAAAUUAAUGGGAAUUAUGAAAACAGUGAAAUUUACAAAAAGGUCAUGAAAUUGCUUAAUGGUGUGUUUGUAAAAGGUGAACAUUAUUUAGCGUAUCAAAAAUAUGUCAAAACUGAAUGUGAGGAUGUGACAGAGCUGUAUAUAUUUAACGAUGAGGAGAGUCACGUAUAUUAUAUCGAGGAAAUACUGUACAUUUUACAAACGUGCAGAAACUGCAUCUAUAUUUUGUGAUUGCGAUUAUUAGGAAUUGGAGAGCAAUUUAAGAUCUGAUUUUCCAAACAGGGAUAUAAACUGCAAUUACUCAAACUGUAUUCACAUACUUCUUGGUAUUGAACAGAUACAUGAAAGUGUAAUGUAAUGGAUGACAACCAGUUAAGGAGAAGAAGAGGAAGUAAUGGUGGUGAUAUUGACUUAGAGUGGGCUGUCAAAGAAUCAGCAUUCCAAAGACGUCUAUGUACAGGUGAAAUAUAUAAUCACAAUAUUCAAGACCCACGAGAAUUCCUUGAAAGAAGUUUUAAUUUAUUUAGAGCAAAAGUUGAAGCACAGAAUCGUCCUCUAAAAAUCAAUUGUAGUCUUGAAUGUACCUUUAUAUAACCAGCCUCUGGUGAAGAACAUACUAUUCAUUUUAACUGUCAGAACAAAGACUAUUUUAUUUCAAGUGAUACAGAAGCAUGGUACAUAGAAAACGUUGUAGAAAAAAUUAUGAAAAAAUUUGAUGCAUGUCAAAAGCUUGGUUCAGGGCUAGCUCUAAAGGACAUUGUGAAACUCUGUGUAAACCUAAAUGAGAAUACAGGUUUUCAUGUAGGAGAGGAUGUUGAGUUGCCUGAAUUUAUUAAAAAUAAAAAAGUGGUAGUUAACAUAGAGUCCAAUAACAAGAAAUGUUUCAAAUGGGCUGUACUAUGUGCACUCUAUCCUGUGGAAUGGAAUAAAUGCAGAGCGUCUAGCUAUAAGAAACAUGACGAUAAACUUAAUUUCUCAGGUAUUACAUUUCCAAUUGAGCUAAAACACAUUACUGUAUGAGUAAAAAUCCGAAGGUGUCUCUAAAUGUAUAUGGUAUUCAAUAUGAUAAUGGUGAUUGGAUGAUAUUUGGAAAGGAGGUUUAUCGUAAUAGAGAAUUUAAUUUUGUUCCUGUUUAUGUAAGUAAAAAAGAUGUGAAAAAAUGCAAACCUAUUAAUUCUCCA